AAUAUCUUCUACCGAAUAUCGGGUGACCGAGACCCGACCCAUUUUGGAAUCGGGUUUCAAAUGCAUCUUUGAAAGGACGCUAAGAGUCAGUGAAGUCAUAAGCUGAAACACGAAACAUCGCUGCUUUUGCAUCAAUGGCGGAUCUGAAGACUGAUACUUUGCGCACCUACGGUUACAUUCUUCUCUACAUUGCUCUCUCCAGUGGUCAAAUCUUCUUCAACAAGUGGGUUUUGUCCUCUAAGGAAAUUAACUUCCCCUAUCCUUUGGGGUUGACUCUACUUCACAUGGUCUUCUCCUCCGUUUUGUGUUUUUCGUUAACCAAGAUUCUGAAGGUUAUGAAGGUUGAUCAGGGAAUGACUCCUGAAGUAUAUCUUACUUCCGUAGUGCCAAUUGGGGCCAUGUUUGCGAUGACUCUUUGGCUGGGAAAUACUGCCUACCUGUACAUUUCUGUUGCUUUUGCACAAAUGCUGAAGGCAGUUAUGCCUGUAGCUGUUUUUGUGCUUGGAGUAGCUGUAGGACUUGAAGUAAUGAGCUGUAGAAUGCUAUUAAUCAUGUCUGUGAUUAGUUUUGGCGUCCUAGUAGCUUCUUAUGGAGAGAUAAACAUAAACUGGGUUGGAGUAGUUUACCAAAUGGGAGGUGUUGUUGGCGAAGCUCUGAGACUUAUCUUCAUGGAGAUUUUUGUUAAGAGGAAAGGUCUUAAGUUGAAUCCUAUAUCCGUGAUGUAUUAUGUUAGUCCCUGCAGUGCAAUUUGUUUAUUCCUUCCAUGGAUAUUUCUGGAGAAAUCGAAGAUGGAUGAACAUGGACCAUGGAACUUCCCUCCUAUUUUGCUCAUCCUCAACUGCCUUUGUACUUUUGCUCUAAACUUAUCAGUUUUUCUUGUUAUUACACAUACAAGUGCUUUAACCAUUCGUGUGGCCGGAGUUGUCAAGGAUUGGGUGGUUGUCUUAGUGUCUGCUAUUCUGUUUGCUGAUACAAAGUUAACAAUGAUCAAUUUGGUUGGUUAUGCUAUUGGUGCUGAGAUAAGUUUGCUCCACUAAACGAUCCGAUGUAAUAGUUAUAAUAAUUCCAUUGCAGGGGUAGCAGCAUAUAAUAAUUACAAGUUGAAAAACGAAGCCUCUCGAGCCACCUCAAAUGACUCCGACCCUGAAUCUUCCCAAAGUCAAGAGUCUCAACCUUUAACAAGUAGAUAGCUGCAGUCUUUAACACGAGUUGUCCAUGCCCCAUUCAGAAGUUGACGAGACUAUGUAGUAGUUUUUACAUAAUGUAGCAAGAGGGGGCAUCAAGUGUUCAUGUAGUAGAUAGAAGUAUACGCAAGCAUUUUUUGUUCAAUCUUAAUACAAAUUCAGCUAAAUUUAGAUCGGGGGAAGCAAUGUGGCGAUCCAAUUUAGUACAUGAAGAUGUAAAAUACAAACUUCAUCCUUUAAAAAAGAGGUGCUUGGCCAUGGCAUUUGAUUUUUGAGGAAUUUGAAGUUAUUCGCAUUUCACAAUAUUUAUUUGUCUGUAGCAAUUACCAUUCAAUCUUAGCGAUUCAAUAUUUGAAGUUGAAUGAUGAAAGAUUAAAAGCCCCUCCACCCACUAUUUAUUAUUAUUAUUGGACAAUGGUCCAAUAACAGCGGUAUAUAGAGCAGUUUGUUAGACAGAUGAAAACUUGUAAAAGUAAUUUGUUUAUUUAAAAUGUAUUGAUAGCAUUCGACAUUGAGACAUUGUUUUAGUGUUGGGAAUAUUUGAUCCUAUGUAAUUUUUUUUUAUUUGCAUGCUGUCAUUGUUGUCUUUUCUGUA